UAAAUUGCUUUAUCUUUAGUUACUUCUUUAAAGAUUAUUAUCUCUAACUAAUAUUUUUUGAUUUUUUCGUGUAGAUGGUCUGCACGUGGUAUGAAUUACAACAGAUGUCCAAGACAUUGUAUUACUCAGUAUCGCAACCUGUUGGAUCACCUUCGACCGACAGACUUCAUUUGGCGUCCAUACCUUAAUUUGGAUCAUGACCAUCAGGUCAUCGCUGAAGACGCGGUCGUAUGGACUGCAUGCACACCGAUAAUACGGUUCACAACUGUGGAGAUGCACAACAGUGAUCGUGUGAAGCUGCAGUUCGGUAUGCCCCAAAACAUCCCAGAUCCCCUAGCUAGCCUAGGAGAAUGACAUCUACGUAAAGUUAACGACCAAGGGAACUUCAAUCCAUUGCAAAGCUUCGCAAGAUCGGAGUGUCGCAAAUGGAAGCACCGUUAUGACCAUGUGUUAACUGACGCAGUCAUGCCAACUGAAGAAAAAUCAAGUCGUACUUAUAUGGCUUGGUACAAAUCGGUUGGUUUUCAGUUCAUCGUUGAGGAUAUGUACUUGUACGACCCACACCAGAUGACUUACACACCUGACACCUUAACAUCAAACCCCCAACAACAAUGUCAGACCAGAUACACACAACCCUCUGUCCGUCAAACGUUCCGUUCAACCAACACACAAACAUACAACCAAAACACACCAUACACCUAACCCCAAUACCAAGAGCAUACCCCAUACCACCAACAACAAAUUGACUAUCAACAUGAGACUCAAUAUCGCUUCGCACCCACCCCAUCACCCUACCAAAGUCGCCUAAGCCAGAACAUCCAAUGAUCAUUCAAAAUCAACCGCCCCUCCUCCUACCAUAGCCAAGAAGCUUAAAUCUCACAAAACCAAAACAUCCAACAACCAUAUCUCUACCAAACACCCCAACAACCUUUCCUCGACGCAUCGUUCACACCCAUGUCUCCCUUCAACCGUCCCAGUCGCCCAUCAAUGAGUCAACCACAACCCAACUUCUCUGGCAUGAGUCAUGAGCUCAACUAUAGAGGUACACCAUCGAUGCAUACUGAAGACUAUGUCGACUUGUCUGACUACUUCAACAGACCUUCUCCUGUAGUUUGAAGUGACGCUCCUGACCCCUCAGAUGCUCAAACACCGGUACCGAAUCAUCAACGUGGGUUAGGGCCACGGGUUAGGGUAGCUAGAGGAUGUGGGACCGGAGGUCGGUUAGGUGAUCCAGGUCAUCACCAUUAGGUUUUUUUGUGUAAACGACAAAUUUUAUUAACAUCAAUUGGUCCUAUAUCAAAUUUAUCUA